rnacentral:rRNA from 1 species
GAUGAACGCUAGCGGCAGGCUUAACACAUGCAAGUCGAGGGGUAACAGGAAUAGCUUGCUAUUUGCUGACGACCGGCGCACGGGUGCGUAACGCGUAUACAAUCUACCUUUUUACAGAGGGAUAGCCCAGAGAAAUUUGGAUUAACACCUUAUGGUAUUAUAAGAUGGCAUCAUUUAAUAAUUAAAACUUCGGUGGUAAAAGAUGAGUAUGCGUUCUAUUAGCUAGUAGGUAAGGUAACGGCUUACCUAGGCGACGAUAGAUAGGGGCCCUGAGAGGGGGAUCCCCACACUGGUACUGAGACACGGACCAGACUCCUACGGGAGGCAGCAGUGAGGAAUAUUGGACAAUGGAGGCAACUCUGAUCCAGCCAUGCCGCGUGCAGGAAGACGGCCCUAUGGGUUGUAAACUGCUUUUAUAUAGGAAGAAACCUUUCCACGUGUGGAAAUCUGACGGUACUAUAUGAAUAAGCACCGGCUAACUCCGUG